UUAAGAGUUUCUCCAAGUUUGUCAUCACCACCGCAAGGUUUGGUUUUAUCUAAUUUGUUAAGAGUUUCUGAUUGUGUAUUCCAUGAACUUUUUUCCGAUUCAAUGUUUGUUCUUAUCGAAUUCGAACCUCUUUUAUUUUUUGAUUAACAAUCCAAUUGAAUCUUCAUAUUAGGGUUUUAGAUUUUGAAGUCGGGUUUCAAUUUUAAGAUUUUAAAACCAUUGCUUUGUUUCAAAUUAGGGUUUUUUUGUUUUAAGAUUUUCAAAUUAGGGUUUUGAUUUCAAACCUGUUUUAAGAAUUUCGUUUGUUGCAAAGAAGCUUUUUCAAAACUUUUUUUUUUGUUAAAAAUCUUAGCUUUUUUAAAAAAGUUUCAUCUGUUUUAUUCGAAUCUUAGGUGUUUCCAAAGUUUUGUUUUUGGUUUUCUUAAAACCCAAAAGAAAGGGAUGACAACACUUAUGAUUGUUGUAUGUCCGGUUUCUACUUGGGAAAAUUGUCCCUUUAUCGGUCCGGUGUUGCCUAAACAAGCAUGAUCAUGCUUGAAAACAGAGAUAAACGUCCUCUCAAGUAAGGGCUUGUCAAAAGUAUGUAUCUUGCUGAGCUGGGACAGCAUUGAUACAAUAUUCAAUUAUCUGCUUUGCUGAGCUGGGACAGCA